rnacentral:rRNA from 1 species
AUUGAACGCUGGCGGCAGGCCUAACACAUGCAAGUCGAACGCGUGGCCGUCUGGUGAGUAAUCUCUGGGAAACUGCCUGCUUGAGGGGGAUCACUUCUUGCAACGGUAGCUAAUACCGCAUUCCAUCGCAUGUUCCCCGAUGGGAUUCGCUUUUAGGUGGGGUAACGGCUCACCUAGGCGACGAUCCCUAGCUGGUCGUAGAGGAUGACCAGCCACACUGGAACUGAGACACGGUCCAGACUCCUACGGUAGGCAGCAGUGGGGAAUAUUGCACAAUGGGCGCAAGCCUGAUGCAGCCAUGCCGCGUGUAUGAAGAAGGCCUUCGGGUUGUAAAGUACUUUCAGCGGGGAGGAGGUAGCCGCAGAAGAAGCAACGGCUAACUCCGUGCCAGCAGCCGCGGUAAUUG